GUGCUCACUUCAGCAGCACAUGUACUAAAAUUGGAACGAUACAGAGAAGAUUAGCAUGGUCUCUGUGCAAGGAUGAUAUGCAAAUUCAAAAAAGCAUUCCAUAUAUUC
ensembl:snRNA U6 U6 spliceosomal RNA